rnacentral:rRNA from 1 species
UACGGAGGGUGCGAGCGUUGUCCGGAAUCACUGGGCGUAAAGGGCGCGUAGGUGGCGCGGGAAGUCAACGGUGAAAGUUCAGGGCUCAACCCUGAAUCGGCCGUCGAUACUCCCGGGCUUGAGCACUGUAGAGGCAGGUGGAAUUCCGGGUGUAGCGGUGGAAUGCGUAGAGAUCCGGAAGAACACCGGUGGCGAAGGCGGCCUGCUGGGCAGUUGCUGACACUGAUGCGCGACAGCGUGGGGAGCAAACAGGAUUAGAUACCCUGGUAGUCCACGCCGUAAACGAUGGGCACUAGAUGCUUGGGGGAGCGACCCCCUGAGUGUCGGCGCUAACGCAUUAAGUGCCCCGCCUGGGGAGUACGGCCGCAAGGCUGAA